rnacentral:rRNA from 1 species
UCCAGACUCCUACGGGAGGCAGCAGUGGGGAAUAUUGCACAAUGGGGGGAACCCUGAUGCAGCGACGCCGCGUGGGUGAAGGAGUACUUCGGUACGUAAAGCUCUCUCAGCAGGGAAGAAAAUGACGGUACCUGAGUAAGAAGCCCCGGCUAACUACGUGCCAGCAGCCGCGGUAAUACGUAGGGGGCAAGCGUUAUCCGGAUUUACUGGGUGUAAAGGGAGCGUAGACGGUCCUGCAAGCCAGAUGUGAAAGCCCGGGGCUCAACCCCGGGACUGCAUUUGGAACUGUAAGGCUAGAGUGCAGGAGAGGUAAGUGGAAUUCCUAGUGUAGCGGUGAAAUGCGUAGAUAUUAGGAGGAACACCAGUGGCGAAGGCGGCUUACUGGACUGUAACUGACGUUGAGGCUCGAAAGCGUGGGGAGCAAACAGGAUUAGAUACCCCCGUA